AAACCCGCACCCGAAAUAUCAGGUGGCAUCCUAGUCUAAACCCAAUCAACUCGCCGUUGACUCGGAUUCCGGUGGCCUCCGCGGAUUUUGGUAUGCCUGCCAUCCGAGAGGACAAAAUUGUAAUUACACAUACUUUCAACUAAUCAUCUUCUACCACCAUGCUGCCUUCUCCACAGCCAAAAUCGCCGUCGCGACCGGUAAUACUGAUAUGCCUCGUUCCGCCGCAAACGGCGUUCCAAACUAGCUGUUGUGCAAAAUCACCAACCAACCACCCUCGUGGUUAAACUUCAAUGAUGCUCACCAGUCUUCUCUCCAUCAUACUAUCGUCUCUCUCCCCCCCCAAAAUCGCCGUCGCCACCGGUAAUACUGAUAUGCCUCGUUCCGCCGCAAACGGCGUUCCAAACUAGCUGUUGUGCAAAAUCACCAACCAACCACCCUCGUGGUUAAACUUCAAUGAUGCUCACCAGUCUUCUCUCCAUCAUUGCUGUACACCCCCCCAAGCAACAAGGCAACAGCGAAUGUGAAGAAGAAUCUCAUGAAAUUGUAAUAUGGAUUGCGCCAGUAAGACCAAUGUUGUUUCCAUAAGCAAGCCAUACAUUGAACGAAAAAGGACCUCGAGUACUUCGAAGGAAAUUCAAGGUCCUUUGAACUAGGAGAUGGAGUGCUCAAUUCUUCAAUAAGAGCUUUGUUUCUCCUGCAACAAAUAUCACCUGCAGCUCUUGCAUCUAACCCAGAAGUUGGCUCAUCCAUGAAUAUGAUAGAAGGAUUAGCAACCAACUCAACUGCAAUAGUCAACCUUUUUCGCUGCUCAGUUGAGAGACCGGUUAUACCAGGGAGACCAACAUAUGCAUCCCUUAUUGAGUUCAGCUCCACUAGCUCCAUGACUUCCUCAACAAACAUCUGCAAUCGGAGCCAUGCUGAAUAGAGCAAGGAUUCAUAGACAGUAAUAUGAGGAGAGUGUAUAUCAUUUUGCUCACAAUAUCCCGAAAUUCUUGCAAAGGUGUCUUGCUUUUUGGGAUACCCGGAAACUGUGAUGUUUCCAGUAAUAUAGCCUCCGGUUUUUCUACCAGCAAGUACAUCCAUCAAAGUUGUUUUUCCAGCACCAGUGACACCCAUAAGUGCAGUGAGAACGCCUGGCCUAAAAGCUCCGCUGACACGGUUCAGAAGAACCAACUUAUCUUCUGUGACACCCUGACUCCUCAUUGCCUUCAAGUUUAGAACAGAGAUUUAAUGAAACUGAUUUAAAAAUUAAGAACCGAGAGCGGAAUGCAAAUUUUUUUUCGUUUAAGUAAAUAUUACCGGAGGCAUGUCUACAGAAUAUGAGACGUCAUCAAAGGACUGUAACCGAUGACGUAAUAGGUAAGAAAUGUCCAAGCUGCUGCUUCAGCAAAUGUUAUCGGGAUUUUCAGGAUCCAUGUAGGAAGAGCAUAUGCCCAAGAAGGGUAGAAGAGAAGGUCCCUUUGCUUGUAAAACACUGGAAGCCUCGCAAUCGUCGUCGCAAGAUCAGCAAACCCAUUAAACAUGACCACCAAAUUUCCAAAGAACAAUGCACCGGCAUAAAUGCCCCCAUCAAUCACUGAAUUGUGGUGCAUUCCAGUUCGGAGAAAAACGGUCAUGGUAGCAGUAGCCAUCACAGAAAUCUUAAAAGGAGGAUAAAUGCAUCAGUGAUGGAGUAACAGGUACAUAGUUUAUACAUAAAAUGAGAAAUUAUAAUGUUCUAAUUGUUUAAACCUACUUGGCAAAGUUUGAAUUUAUAGUAAAAUGCAUUGCGCCUCAUAAGUAAAUAUUCUCUUGCUAAGCAAGCUUUGAAUAAUUCCCACUUUCCAAUUCCAUACGUGUUGGUCGUCAAAGCAGCUGGGUGGCUUUGAGACUUGUCAAAUGGAGUAACAAGUUCAUUGCCAAGAGUUCUCCCAACAUGAAAUGACUCAAAUAUCUCAGCAAACUCCUUAGGUGUCACAAAUUUAUAAGGCUUCCUUCUUUCUACCCAAUAUUGCUCCUGAUCUUUCAUUGAUGUCACCUACAACAGUAUGCGCAAAAUUAAACUGUAAAAACUCACUCCUAUCCGUAUAGACUGUAGAAAGAAGAUAAGGAUACACUUACUUCUUGUAAAAAGUCUGCCACAGAUUUUCUCUCGGGACACUUAAAACCUAAUGAACCAAAAAAUUCUAGCACAUGUUCACAAGGACCCUGGUACACAAUGUGUCCCUCAGAGAGUAGAAUAAUGUCGUCAAAAAGAUCAUAAGUCUCUGGUGGUGGCUGCAACAGUGAGAUCACAGCGGUUCCGUUGAGAAGUUGGACCGACUGCUUCACUGAUUUCACAACUUGAUAGGUUGUUGAGCUAUCCAAACCGGUUGAUAUUUCAUCCAUGAGAAGAGCCUUAGCUGUUCCUACUAGCAUCUCCCCUGUAUUAAUAGAUUCAUAACGUUUUCUCAUUGCCACUAUAUUAUGGUGAAUCAUGAUGUUAUUCAUCAAUAUCAAAAUCAAGUAUGUUUUACCUGUUGUAACCCGUUUCCUUUGUCCACCAGAGACGCCUCUUAACAUUGGACCUCCCACCACUGUAUCUGCACAACUCUCUAGUCCCAAAAGCUGAAAAUAUAAAGCAAAUAAAACUAAAUUAGUUGCUACCCUAUGAGGAUCAAAGAAGGCUUUGUGUGUAUGAAUUUUUACCUUUAAAGUAUAAUCUACUGCAAGAUUUUCUUUCCCGCCCUCAGUUGCAACAGCCUAAACAUAUUUCCAAGUCACAAGUUCAUUAGCUAUUAUAUUCAUAAUUGAAAAUAGGAAAGAAAAAGAUGGUGCGUGCGUCGUCUCCUACCUUCAUAUAGAUAUCUAUAUCUGGAUCAGGGAAGAUGUUUCUCUCAAUUUCUCUUCUAGAUAAUUCUUCUAGCAUAUCUGCAUUUUACCAAAGAUAUUCCUUUUCAACUUAGAAUCAUGUUUUCAAAUUUCAAAUGUUUUGAAAUUGCAUCGAGAUGAAACAUUUAGAAAAAAAUGCAAUGUCAUGUACUAACCUAUUCUAGAUCCAACACCUUGGAAUCUUGCUGAGAAGGCUAAAGUUUCUCUAACUGUCAACUCUCCAAUGUGAAGAUCGUUUUGACUGACAUAAGCAGCAGUUCUUUGAGUAACCUUUAGAUUGGGAUCAAGUUUUCCAGCCAAGGCCAAAAGGAGUGUCGUUUUUCCAGAACUUGGAGGGCCCAAAAGCAAUGUCAUCCUGGAGAUAUAUAGGUUUGGCGACGGGGAAUACUUUCAACAAUGCAUGCAAGCGUUUUAUCGUUCAAGGGUGUCUUGUUAUCAAUGCAACCAUCUAUCCCUGCACUAAAAAAUUCUUCCCGUUGUACUUCUGUAAGGUAAAUACCUACCAAGGAGAAUUAAGUCAUAGACUUCCUCAACACAAAUUAUUUUUAUAGCUUCUUGGCUAGUUUUCACUGAACGAGUUUCCACACCAAGUCUAUUCAACAUAACUUCAUGAACCUUUCCAAUGCAGUCAUCAUGGUGCACAACAAGUGCUCUUAUUAUUCUUCGAUGGGGGCUUGGUGAAAGAUCAUCAUCUUCACUAUCUUCACUAUCAGAUAACAUUAUUUGUUUACCUUUAUGAUCACUUAUACUGACCAUCUUUCUACACAAUUGAUGAUAUAUCAAUUCAAUUAAUUAUAUUAAUUAUC